UAGGAUUAAGGGUGGGAAGUGGCCAUAGGGAGAUGUCCAUAAGACAGUUGUGGCACUGAAGAUCAGGAGAGAAACUAAGGCUGGAUAUAUAGAUCUGGGAACCAUCUGCAUAGAGAUGAUAAUUGAACUGAUGGGAGCUGAUAAGAUCACCAAGAGAGAUCAUAUAGAGGGAAGAAAAAAGGAGCGUGGAGUCUUGGGAGACACCCAAGGUUAGGCAUGGAUGAAAAACCAAGAAAGGAAACUAAGAAUGAACAGUUAGAAGAAGAGUCAGGAGAAAGCAGUGUCCCCAAAAACCAGAGAGGACAGUGUACCUAGGAGGGAAAGACACACUGAAACACUCGAUUUUGUGAUCUCUGUAUUCCAUUGCCUCUGCAACAUCAUCCACCAUUCCUGGAAUAUGCUCCCUCCUGCCAAUGAGGAGUUAAACUUUUAACCACUGGAAAUAGAAGCACCCCUUGGAUCACAGGUCCAGAAGGAUAACUUUAAAGGUCAGGCAGAGGAGAGGGGUGUAUUGUUGUCAAGGCAAGACG